UAAUCCUUUCAGCAAUGAAGAAUCCAAG
rnacentral:piRNA from 1 species